UUUCCAAUUUAGCCGGCAUUGGCUGUUCGCAGGCAGUUGUUCAGUGGAGCUGCUACUUGUGUGGAUGCUUCAGUUCUGAAACAUGCCAUAUGACCUUCCACCUGGACUGUUGUGCUAGUCCCCCCCAAGGAUCAGUCUGUUUGCCAUUCUGUGUAUGUAGGAGAGGAUGUAGAUUUCCACUUUCUGGGGAUUAAUGAUUUCGCUGAUUGGAGAAGAUGGGGAGUGAGAGGAUCUGAAAAGGUUAUAGCCAGCAAGUGCAGCUCCUUGACCACCUCUGAUGAAGCACCCAAUGGUGCGAAACGUGUUAGGAGAGUGGAGUAUGGGUACCAUGAGGCACUGGGAUGCACCUGUUUGUCGCUUGGUAUAGGUUCAUAAAAGAAGCUGGAGGCAAUUCUCAUUAGUUUUUUUGACAUCUUGUAUCACUUAUCUAAGGAACAAGCAAACCGAGAGCAGUUGCUUUGAUCAUGGCAAAAGUAAAAAGAGUGCUAAAAAGCCUAUGAAGAUUUAAAAAGUGGGAUAGACUUUCCUGUGGCUUGUUUGAAAGAACUAAGAAGAUUUAAACUUGCCAGAGUUGCAUGCAUUAAAGAAUUGUUAACAACGCAGAAUUUUUUUUUGUUCACGCGCCUUUAAACAGAUUCAUACAAAGUUCUUUAUCUGAAUGAUUUUAUUACACUUCUUGGCCUAAACCCCUUAUUAAUAUUUGGCUGCAUUUUUGUGGAUUCCUUUCUUGUUCCUAGAAAAUCCAUCAGUCUGUUGAUGUCACCCUGUGUAUAUAUCCCCUUAACCCCUCUAUAUGGCCAGUGUCUUUUUUAAAAAAAAAAAACCAAUAAGUUAUUGCUGUACACAGAACUAUUGAUGAAAAAACUUGAUUUGUGGAAAAAGUUCACAAGACUGCAAAACAUUUCAUGAAAUCAUGAAAAUAGUGUUACCCUUUCCUCUCUGUUCCUACCCUUUACAACUGUUCAUAAUAAAUGUCUACAGUGUUACUGAUUUCCUCUGGCAGCAGAUUUUCCAUCAAUAUCCUACUGUCUAGAAAUCCUUUUUAAAUAUAUAAAUAAAUAUACAUUUUUUUAAAAAAAAUAAGCAAAUAGUAACCACUUUAGAGUUCCAUGAACUGUAUAAAUGCCUUCUGGUUUUAUCUGGUAAGGAUAUCCUAGUUGACUUCUGAACUUAGGUGACUCCUUCUGUAUUUAUAUUUACAAUAGAGCAUGCAAUAUUCCAUAUACAGGUAUGUGACCUGUUAUCCAGAAUGCU